GAAGAAAUAACAAGAAGACAGAAUUGAACGAAAGUAAAUAUAUUGGCAUGGCAAUGUUAUCUAUAUUUCAGUCCUUCUCUUUCGGCGUUCCUUUGAUUUU
rnacentral:ribozyme from 14 species